CCCACUGCUGCUGGGUUUGUGGGAAGCAGGUGUCUGCCAGCUGGGGAGAAGGCAGAGAGCUCUGAGCAGGCAGGGGGUAUCUGGAAGCUGGGGAGAAGGCAGAGAGCUCUGAGCGGGCAGGCUGCUGCCCAGGAGUUUGCAGAGGACGGGUCUCUUGCAUCCCUGUUCUCUGCUGCCUGCAUGACACAGGAGGAGUUUGGUUGCUCCCGCCUUGCACAGAAGAGGAGGUCGGCACAUGAUACACACACCACGGUUUCGUGGCUGCCAUCUGUGGUGCUCGUGCCUGCUGGGAGUGGAGGCACUGUGGCCCAGUGGGCUGAGCAGAGGCCUGGCAGGCGAGACAUGGGCUCUGUCCCCAGCUGUGCCGCGGACUUGCCGUGGGACCUUGGGCACUCAGCAGACUUCAGUCCGGAUUGGCCUGAGAUGCCCCUGUGUGCUUUGAAGCGCAGUGGAGAAGGGAGUUCAUUACAGCUUCCUAUGCCCUGCGCGCUUCGGCUCCUUCCCGGACUGCCCCGGCAUCCC